ensembl:snoRNA
GUCCUUUUGUAGCUUAUGAGCAUGAUGGUUGGGGGUUCAAGUGCGUGUGUGGGAUGUGCCUCCCUUAAACCUUGUCACAACAUCGGCACAUUACCCGUCUGACA